UACGGAGGGGACUAGCGUUGUUCGGAAUUACUGGGCGUAAAGCGCACGUAGGCGGAUUUGUAAGUCAGGGGUGAAAUCCCGGGGCUCAACCUCGGAACUGCCUUUGAUACUGCAAAUCUCGAGUCCGGAAGAGGUGAGUGGAAUUCCUAGUGUAGAGGUGAAAAUUCGUUGAUAUUAGGAAGAACACCAGUGGCGAAGGCGGCUCACUGGUCCGGUACUGACGCUGAGGUGCGAAAGCGUGGGGAGCAAACAGG
rnacentral:rRNA from 1 species